AAGACUAUACUUUCAGGGAUCAUUUCUAUAGUAUGUUACUAAGAUCAAAGGUAGCUGAGAGAAUUAACAAACUAGAAGACGAAACUAAAGAAAUUACUCAGA
rnacentral:sRNA from 1 species